rnacentral:rRNA from 1 species
UCUCGAGCGAGAUAAGGGCAUUCGGUGGAUGCCUUGGCACCAGAAGGCGAUGAAGGACGUGGCACGCUGCGAAAAGCCAUGGGGAGCCGCGAGCAGGCGUUGAUCCGUGGAUAUCCGAAUGGGGCAACCCACCGCGCAAGCGGUAUCGGGCGCUGAACACAUAGGCGUUCGAGGCGAACCCGGGGAACUGAAACAUCUCAGUACCUGGAGGAAAAGACAUCAACCGAGAUUCCGCGAGUAGUGGCGAGCGAAAGCGGAGCAGGCCAGUGGCGGUGUGAGGGUCAGCAGAACGGUCUGGAAAGGCCGGCCGGAGCGGGUGAGAGCCCCGUAUGCGUCAAUUCUCACAUCGUCCUUGAGUAAGGCGGGACACGUGAAAUCCUGUCUGAAGAUGGGGGGCCCACCCUCCAAGCCUAAAUACUCUCUGGUGACCGAUAGUGCACAAGUACCGUGAGGGAAAGGUGAAAAGCACCCCGAAAG